GUUGUAUAUGUCGGCGGAUUUUGUUCUUUGUUCUGACGUGUAAAAUGAUUUGUAAAUUGAGAAACCUAUCAACGUUAUAAUAAGAUUUAUGUCAUUAUAAUGUCGGUCUCCUAUUUUAUAUCCAAAGACUAUAUCUAUUAAGUUUAUUUUCUUACAGAAGUUUAUGAUAUUCAUUUUUUCUGUUAUUUUAUUCCACAAGUCUUUUAAAAAUUCACAAUCGAUAAAAAAAUGUUGAUAAUUGUCUGUGCAUUUGCAUAAAGCACACUCUGACGUAUUAGAUAUUUUCCAUUUGAAAAGAUUUUCUGUGUUCGGCAAUAUAUAGCUAAAUAAUUUCCAUUUAUAAACUUUAAGUUUGUUUGUGUAUAUUUCUUUGUUUGUAAAUGAUAAGGAGUGUCUAAUUUGUAAUGGUUUUACGCCUAAUAUUCUUUGCCAUUUUAUUAUUCCAAUGUUUGGAGUUAUUUUGUUUUUUAUAAAAUGUUGAUAGACGGUUUUGUUAUCAAGAUCUGCUAAAUUUAUUUCUGUUUCAUUCAUUCUAAUUAUUUUUUCGUUAAUACUAACUUGGGUUUUAACAGAUUUAUUUGUUUUCAGGAUAUCUAUCCAACAUUUUGGAAUAGCUUUUUUUAGUAUUGAUAGUUCGGCUAUCCAGUUGUGUUUUAUUUCUAACUUACGCAGUAUUGUCUUUUCGUUGAUUUGACCGUUUUCGUCAAUAAUUUCAUUAAUAUAGAUUAUAUUGCUUUUGAUCCAAUUGAGCAUCAAUAAUGGUUUAUUUUUUAUUUUUAUGUUUUUAUUACCCCAUAUAAUUUCUUUGCGUAUUUCUCUAAAGUUAGUGGGUGAUUUAGUUUGACCUCCACCUUUCCGUAUCCAGCAUUUUACAAUAUCCAGAUAAAAUUCUGGUAAUUCAGUUGUAAUUUUAAGUAGUUUAAAUUUUAAAGUUCUAAAUUCAUUUUGAAGAUAA
rnacentral:lncRNA from 1 species